AUUGAACGCUGGCGGCAGGCUUAACACAUGCAAGUCGAACGAGUGGCGGACUGGUGAGUAAUGCUUGGGCAUCUAGCUUAUGGAGGGGGAUAACUACGGGAAACCUUAGCUAAUACCGCGUACCAUAGGAUGAGCCCACGUGGGAUUAGGGAGUGGGUGAGGUAAAGGCUCACCAAGCCGACGAUGUCUAGCUGGUCUGAGAGGAUGACCGGCUACACUGGGACUGAGACCCGGCCCAGACUCCUACGGGAGGCAGCAUUGGGGAAUAUUGCGCAAUGGGGGAAACCUGACUGAGCCAUGCCGCGGGAAUGAAGAAGGCCUUCGGGUUGUAAAAUUCUUUCGGUAGAGAGGCGUUAACUACAGAAGAAGCACCGGCUAACUCCGUGCCAGCCGCCGCGGUAAUUC
rnacentral:rRNA from 1 species